AUGCGUUACACCUUGAUCUUUCUUGUCUUCAAUAAUUUCCAUGGAGCCCAUACAGUGUGUUUAGAUGCAUUUAGUUGGUUAUGGAGUGAAACAUUUUUUGGGCAGAUGUUAGAAAGGCGAUGACUAUUUCAUGAAAUUAUUUUGAUAAUUACAAAACAGUGACCAAGUUUUAAAAAUUUCACUAUAAGUUAAGUUUUUCAAAUAAAAAAAAACAAUGAAAGUGUGACAUCACCUCAACAUCACAUAUAACAUAACUGUUAAUUUCUUCGAGGAAAAAUAAAUUCAUACAAAUUAAUUUGUCACACUACAUCGCUGGAUACUUUCAUUAUUUUGGAUGCAUAACAGCGGAAUUGGCCAAUACCGAGGGACUCGUAAGGGGAACAACGUCAUCGUCAUUCUCAAUCCAG